GCGAACGAUCAGAUGAGUCGUCGAGUCCAAUGCAUUUCAACGAUUCCUCUUCGCUUCAAUUCCACAUCUAAGCUUCGUUCGUCUUCUCCGUCAUUCGGUUCCAGGCGUUGUUUUUCGGAAGCCGAAUCGUGAUUGGGAUGGAGGAAAAUAAGUUCGUGAGGGCUUCUGAGGCAGUUAUUGUAGAUUCCGAUCUGCUGAAGAAGAAACUCGACUCUACGCGCCUUUCAGGAAUGACACCAUCAAAAACUCUCUUGACCGCUACGCUACGAGUGCACUUUUGAUAUUGUCUACGUGAAUGAUGCAUCCAUGCUGGGAGUGGUUAAACUUGUACAACAGCUCUUUCCAGUUGGAGGUGUCUGAGGGACAGACCUUUCUAUACGAAUGUACGCUUGAUUGCACCCCUCGUAGAGCCGCUCGCCCAAAGUGUCUAUGAUGUAGUAAGCAUCCUUGUCAACCUUCAAGAUGAAGAAGUGGUCAUUCCAGC